AAUUCUUUAUGUUAGUUCACUGGUUUCUCUGUGCAUUAUAGAUUAUUUUUGUCCAGCAAGCAGUGCACACACCACCUCUCAGUGCCAUUUGUAUACAGCAUGUCAUGUGUGUUGUCCCGGUACCUGUCUCAUAAGACAGGAAAGGCAGGAGCCGUGUUUCUCGUUUUAAGUGUGGUGCUGAAUAUACAAAGCACAUAAAACUCUAGAGACAAAGGGAAAAUGAACAAGAAACCGUGGUCACUGAUUCAUGGCUCUGUGCGAGCCCCCUUCUGCAGAACUCCCAUCAAAAGUCAGUAUUUCUGUGCAUCCAGUGCUGGCAGGGCCAGUCCUUUAAAACCAGAUAGUCCUCAGCUUCCUGGUACAGUAUUUACGACAGUGGUGGGGUGAGUUCGCCCACAUUUCAAGGCAGAAUGUGUUCAUCUCUACUUUUUCCUGGCUUUUAUUCACCAAAAAAACACAUUAGCAGACCCGUGUUACUAGCUGCUUCCUGCUUCUGUUGCUUAGUGUUUUGUCGCUACCACGGCUGGCCAACAAGCCGUAAAUCUUGCCUGGUGUUUUGUAACAAAGGAAAAAAUAGAAUGAUUUGUGUUGACUUUUGGUCAUCGUGUAUCAUAAUUGAUUUGAGGGCGGGCGGUGGAGGAAAGCAUACUGUGUUAUUUGUUGCUCGCCAGUUCUCCGGGAAGGCGGUGUUAGCAGGCAGUCAGUAGAGGGCAAUAGAGAAAUACAGUUUGUGGUACCUAAAGGAUUUGAAGCACGGAUUAUGUGUUUACAGAAAAGAAAAAGAAGAAAAGAAGAGCCAGGAGGAUAGGUUGUUCAGUUUACUACUGGAGACCUGACUGUGACAGACCACCAACACAAAAUUUUGAAGGAGAGCAAAGACAACCUUCUGCAGCAUCCACGACUCUCUCCUGUUUUCUUUGGAGUUAUGCAGGAUAACUUAGCCAGAACUUACUGAUGACUGCAUAUUCAGUGGGCUCGGGAAUGGACUGGGAGAUGCGGGAAGGCACUCUUUGGGAGGAACAGAAGAGGAGGCAUUUCAAAGAUCCUGCAGGUGAAUGAGGUGAUGAUCUGCUGUCAGAAUAAAUAAAUCUUACAAAGUGCUGAGACUGCUCAGCCUUUUGCUGUGGUAUCGCUUCCACGUGAGGGACCUGUAUUAUCAUCUUUCUUCAAGUAUCUUCUCUCCUGUGCUACAGGGUUCAUUAUUUUGCAGAGGAUGGGUCUUUCUGCCCUACAGGGAUCUAUCUAUCACUGCUGACUCUCUGCAUCUUCUCCACAGGGAAGAAGUAAUUGGAUUGUACUUUCUGCACGUGAUGAGAGCUGUAGGCUGGAGAACUAAGCUGUCAAGAGGGUAGGAAACCAUAUGAUGCCUAAGAAAACUAAAUGUGUGAGUGUAACUGCAAGACCUUUCCUUUCUUUCCAUAGAAGAGCUGGAACAUGCUGAACUGCACUCACCAAACUGCACUAGAACUUUGGGAAGGUCCGUGAAGCUUUAAGGAAGCAGAGAAAAACAUAACCACCCAAAUAAUCCCAGGGGCAUUAAAUGUCUGUGAAUAUAUAACACAAUAAGCCAUACUAUGAAUAUGAACAGCUAGGGACAUUUCUUAAAAAUAAAGAAACAUUACUGCAAA